rnacentral:tRNA from 1 species
GGGCCCAUAGCUCAACUGGCAGAGCAGCGGACUCUUAAUCCGUUUGUUGUAGGUUCGACUCCUACUGGGCUCA